rnacentral:rRNA from 1 species
GUGUCAGCCGCCGCGGUAAGACGUAGGGAGCGAGCGUUGUCCGGAUUCAUUGGGCGUAAAGAGCGCGCAGGCGGCUUGGUAAGUCGGAUGUGAAAACCCGGAGCUCAACUCCGGGCGUGCAUCCGAAACUGCCCGGCUAGAGGUAGGUAGGGGAGAUCGGAAUUCCUGGUGUAGCGGUGGAAUGCGCAGAUAUCAGGAGGAACACCGGUGGCGAAGGCGGAUCUCUGGGCCUUACCUGACGCUCAGGCGCGAAAGCUAGGGGAGCAAACAGGAUUAGAUACCCCGGUAGUCC